GACGAACGCUGGCGGCGUGCCUAAUACAUGCAAGUAGAACGCUGAAGGAGGAGCUUGCUUCUCCGGAUGAGUUGCGAACGGGUGAGUAACGCGUAGGUAACCUGCCUGGUAGCGGGGGAUAACUAUUGGAAACGAUAGCUAAUACCGCAUAAGAGUAGAUAUUGCAUGAUAUCUGCUUGAAAGGUGCAAUUGCAUCACUACCAGAUGGACCUGCGUUGUAUUAGCUAGUUGGUGAGGUAACGGCUCACCAAGGCGACGAUACAUAGCCGACCUGAGAGGGUGAUCGGCCACACUGGGACUGAGACACGGCCCAGACUCCUACGGGAGGCAGCAGUAGGGAAUCUUCGGCAAUGGACGGAAGUCUGACCGAGCAACGCCGCGUGAGUGAAGAAGGUUUUCGGAUCGUAAAGCUCUGUUGUAAGAGAAGAACGAGUGUGAGAGUGGAAAGUUCACACUGUGACGGUAUCUACCA
rnacentral:rRNA from 1 species